rnacentral:rRNA from 1 species
UGGGGAAUCUUCCGCAAUGGACGAAAGUCUGACGGAGCAACGCCGCGUGAGUGAAGAAGGUUUUCGGAUCGUAAAACUCUGUCUUUUGGGGCGAACGUGAGUAUGGUGAACAAUCAUAGUCAGUGACGGUACCAAAGGAGGAAGCCACGGCUAACUACGUGCCAGCAGCCGCGGUAAUACGUAGGUGGCAAGCGUUGUCCGGAAUUAUUGGGCGUAAAGAGCGCGUAGGCGGGAUAGUCAGUCUGUUGUAAAAGUGCGGGGCUCAACCCCGUGACGGCAAUGGAAACAGCUAUUCUUGAGUGCAGGAGAGGAAAGGUGGAAUUCCCAGUGUAGCGGUGAAAUGCGUAGAUAUUGGGAGGAACACCAGUGGCGAAGGCGACUUUCUGGACUGUGUCUGACGCUGAGGCGCGAAAGCCAGGGGAGCGAACGGGAUUAGAUACCCCCGGUAGUCCUGG